AUUGAACGCUGGCGGCAGGCUUAACACAUGCAAGUCGAGCGAGCGGCGGACGGGUGAGUAAUGUCUGGGAAACUGCCUGAUGGAGGGGGAUAACUACUGGAAACGGUAGCUAAUACUGCAUAACAUCAGAUGUGUACAGACGGGAUUAGCUAGGGGGCGGGGUAAUGGCUCACCUAGGCGACGAUCCCUAGCUGGUCUGAGAGGAUGACCAGGCACACUGGAACUGAGACACGGUCCAGACUCCUACGUGAGGAAGCAGUAGGGAAUAUUGCACAAUGGGCGCAAGCCUGAUGCAGCCAUGCCGCGUGUGUGAAGAAGGCCUUCGGGUUGGAAAGCACUUUCGGCGAGGAGGCGUUACUCGCAGAGGAAGCACCGGCUAACUCCGUGCCAGCAGCCGCGGUAAUAC
rnacentral:rRNA from 1 species